rnacentral:rRNA from 2 species
GCAUAGGAAUCUACCUAGUAGUAUGGGAUAGCCACUAGAAAUGGUGGGUAAUACUGUAUAAUCCCUGCGGGGGAAAGAUUUAUCGCUAUUAGAUGAGCCUAUGUUAGAUUAGCUAGUUGGUAGGGUAAAGGCCUACCAAGGCAAUGAUCUAUAGCUGGUCUGAGAGGAUGAUCAGCCACACUGGAACUGAGAUACGGUCCAGACUCCUACGGGAGGCAGCAGUGGGGAAUAUUGGACAAUGGGCGCAAGCCUGAUCCAGCUAUGCCGCGUGAGUGAGGAAGGCCUUAGGGUUGUAAAACUCUUUCAGUGGGGAAGAUAAUGACGGUACCCACAGAAGAAGUCCCGGCAAACUCCGUGCCAGCAGCCGCGGUAAUACGGAGGGGGCAAGCGUUGUUCGGAAUUAUUGGGCGUAAAGGGCAUGUAGGCGGUUUGGUAAGUUAAAGGUGAAAUGCCAGGGCUUAACCCUGGAGCUGCUUUUAAUACUGCCAGACUGG